rnacentral:rRNA from 1 species
UACAGAGGGGGCGAGCGUUGUUCGGAAUUAUUGGGCGUAAAGAGCUCGUAGGCGGUCUGUCGCGUCUGCUGUGAAAGUCGGGGGCUCAACCCUCGAAUGCCGGUGGAUACUGUCGGGCUAGAGUGCGGAAGAGGCGAGUGGAAUUCCUGGUGUAGCGGUGAAAUGCGCAGAUAUCAGGAGGAACACCGGUGGCGAAGGCGGAUCUCUGGGCCUUACCUGACGCUCAGGUGCGAAAGCUAGGGGAGCGAACAGG